CCUACGGGAGGCAGCAGUAGGGAAUCUCGCGCAAUGGGCGAAAGCCUGACGCAGCAACGCCGCGUGGGGGAUGAAGGCCUUCGGGUUGUAAACUCCUUUCAGUGGGAACGAAACUGACGGUACCCACAGAAGAAGCCCCGGCCAACUACGUGCCAGCAGCCGCGGUGAUACGUAGGGGGCGAGCGUUGUCCGGAUUUAUUGGGCGUAAAGAGCUCGUAGGCGGUUUGGUUAGUCGGGUGUGAAACCUCCAGGCUUAACCUGGAGACGCCACUCGAUACUGCCAUGACUAGAGUCCGGUAGGGGACCAUGGAAUUCCUGGUGUAGCGGUGAAAUGCGCAGAUAUCAGGAGGAACACCAGUAGCGAAGGCGGUGGUCUGGGCCGGUACUGACCUUAGGAGCGAAAGCGUUGGGAGCGAACAGGAUUUAGAUACCCUGGUAGUCCACGCCGUAAACGUUGGGCACUAAGUGUUGGGCUCUAUCAACGAGCUCCCGUGCCGCAGCUAACGCAUUAAAUUGCCCGGCCUGGGGAAUACGGCCGCAAGGGUUAAACUCAAAGGAAUUUGACGG
rnacentral:rRNA from 1 species